AGUGUUGUUUUACCUCACUUUUGGUAUACAGUUCCAGCUUCGUCUCUUGAAGGUCCGGCCACCUACAGCACACAGAGGGCAACAAGGACAGUCUCUGUACUGAACAUCUACAACGACGGAACAAGUCUUCUGAUCUAAGAGCUCGCUUUCUGACACCUGGAGCUGAUUUUUGAAAAAACUUUGAAUUUCAAUACUAAAUUGCUACCUCAAA